GCGGGGAUAGCUCAGUUGGGAGAGCGUCAGACUGAAGCAAGACUUCGGUUCAGUCUAUCUGAAGGUCGUCGGUUCGAUCCCGACUCACCGCA